AGCUCUCUUAUGUUAAAAUUUUGAAUUUCGUUUUUGCUCUCUCAUUUGCUUGCCCUAAUAAUAGCUCUAUUGAUUCACACGUCAUUUUCUUGCCCUAGUUCAGCGGCUGAGCUCCUCUGACAUUCGUAUUGCGAUUUUGUCUUUGUUCGUUCGUUGAAGGCCUAUCGCGAUUUUGAGUUCUUUGAAGAACUUCUGCCACUAAUUUGCUGAAUUCAGAGGAACAGUUGGUCAUGUUUUUAUCCGUAUUAGCCCAUCACAAGAAAAAUCGUGUCGUGCGCUUUGAUUUUUGGAGAUCGGGCCAAACAAUAUCGCGCUAUAUUCACACUAUUUUGAAAGCCAUCUUGAAGCUACAUGUUCUACUCCUAGUGAAGCCUGAUCCGGUAUCUGGUGACAACAAUGAUCCACGAUGGAAGUGGU